GAUGGGAUCGACUGCAAGUCGAAGAGGUUAGUCUGGUAGCAAUACUGGGCUGACCUAGUGGCGAACGGGUGCGUAACACGUGACCAACCUGCCUGAAAGUGGGGGAUAGCUCGGCGAAAGCCGGAUUAAUACCGCAUGUGAUCGCAAGAUUAAAGCAGCAAUGCGCUUUUAGAGGGGGUCGCGGCCUAUCAGCUAGUUGGUGAGGUAAAGGCUUACCAAGGCAGCGACGGGUAGCUGGUCUGAGAGGACGACCAGCCACACUGGAACUGAGACACGGUCCAGACACCUACGGGUGGCAGCAGUCGAGAAUUUUUCUCAAUGGGGGAAACCCUGAAGGAGCGACGCCGCGUGGAGGAUGAAGGCUUUCGGGUUGUAAACUCCUGUCAUCUGGGAACAAAACUCGCAAGAGCUUGAUAGUACCAGAAGAGGAAGAGACGGCUAACUCUGUGCCAGCAGCCGCGGUAAUACAGAGGUCUCAAGCGUUGUUCGGAUUCAUUGGGCGUAAAGGGCGCGUAGGCGGUGGGGUAAGUCUGGUGUGAAAUCUCGGAGCUCAACUUCGAAAUUGCACUGGAUACUGCUCUGCUAGAGGGCUGGAGAGGAGAUCGGAAUUCACGGUGUAACAGUGAAAUGCGUAGAUAUCGUGAGGAAAACCAGUGGCGAAGGCGGAUCUCUGGACAGCUCCUGACGCUGAAGCGCGAAAGCUAAGGGAGCAAACGGGGAUAGAUACCCCGGGUAGUCCUAGCAGUAAACGGUGCACGUUUGGUGUGCGCGGAAUCGAACCCCGUGCGUGGCCGAACCAAACCGUUAAACGGGCCGCCUGAAGAAUAACGUCUCCAAAAUUAAAACUUCAAAAAAUUGACGGGGGGCCCCCACAAACGGUGGAAAAAGGUGGCU
rnacentral:rRNA from 1 species